UAUACUGAAAUGAUGCACCAAUGGCCUGU
rnacentral:sRNA from 1 species